AUGCGGGCCCGCACGGAGCCCAAGUCGGAGGCGCGCGGACUUGGGGCGGGAGAGCAAAAGUUGGAGACGACUGCCUCUGGAGGCCGAGCACGCGCCACUGCAGGCCGCGGCGCGCGCUCGCUUUUUUUUUUUUUUUCGAUUCUGAAAAAAGAUGUAUCCGAAAAACAACCAGGAGAGAGAGAGAGAGGGAGAGAGGGGGGAAACACACAAAAACGAGCGCCAGCUCGGAGGCCGCCCGGCCGUCGGGGGUCGCGGGGGGCGCAGGCCCUCCCCCGCCGCCCGCCCUCUGUAGGGGGCACUGCAGGGUCGCGGAAGCUCGAGCCGAGAAGUUCCCCGAAGCUCGGCCGGACCCCCGCCCUGCGCGCUCAGCUCCGUCCUGCCGGGGGGCGCCGGCGCCGCCGACCGACCUGGGGGCCCCGCCCCCGCCCGGCCCCGCGCGCCCCCCCGUGCCCCUCACCCCAACCCGGCCGACCAACCCGCCCGCACCCGCCUUCCCGCGCCGGGCCCCGCGACCCCGACGCGCCGUCCGGACCGGGGCUGGGCUGCGGGCGGGGGCUCCGCGGGGGGCUCCAGGCGCCCGACCCCGAGCCCGAGCCCCGCCGAGCGUCCGACUCGGGGCCGCUCCACGCGCGCCCCGAAGUCCAGGCCCGAGCGGGCGCCGUCUGGGCCCAGCGGCCGGGGAGUCUCGGAACCGGGCCGAGAGCGCCUCCCCGGGCCCAGGGGUCUCGGAACCCGGCCGGGAGCGCCUCCCCGGGACUCGGCGGUGGGGUCUCCGGGGCGGGAGGUCACCCCCAGCGUGCGCCGUCGGGGCCCAGCAGCCUUAGGGUCUCGGAACCGGGCCGGGAGCGCUUCCCCGGGCCUGGGGGUUUCCCAGAACCGGGCCAGGAGCGCGUCCCCAGGACUGGGGGGUCCCGGAACCGGGCCGGGAGCACCUCCCCGGGCCUGGGGGGGGGUCUCGGAACCGGGCCGGGAGCGCUUCCCCGGGCCUGGGGGUUUCCCAGAACCGGGCCGGGAGCGCGUCCCCAGGACUGGAGGGUCCCGGAACCGGGCCGGGAGCACCUCCCCGGGCCUGGGGGGGGUCUCGGAACCGGGCCGGGAGCGCGUCCCCGGGGCUUCGCAGUGAGGCCUCCGCGGCGGGACGUCAAGCCGAGCGGGAGCCGUCUGGGCCCAGCGGCCCGGGAUCCCGGAACCCAGCCGGGGGCGCCUCCCCGGGCCUCGGGAGUCUCGGGGUCCGGCCGGGAAGCCUCCCCGGGGCUCGGCGGUGGGGUCUCUGCGGCGAGAGGUCGCCCCGAGACCGGGGCGUUGACCCAACUUUGCCCCCGCGUGUGCCCCCGCGUGCUGCGCGCCGCGCUCCAAAGCGAGACCCCGAGGCCGGGCCGGCUCAGCGGGCAGCACGGGGGAGCCGGGCCGGGGCGACCCGCACAUCUCCAUCCCUGCCCAGGGGAGGACGUGCCCCUGCGGCGCUUGUGCAGCUAA
rnacentral:lncRNA from 12 species